UCCUGUGCCUCCCCUCAAUGCCAGCAGCUAAAGCACGCCAACCAUUAAUGUCCUCGCUGGAAACCUCCAUCAACAAUGACCUAGAAUAUGGCUGAUUAUGGUCCCCACUACUAGAUCCAGAUGCCAUCACAGCCUCCUCUGAGGAAGAAGAGGCUGAAGGCAAGAAUGAAAAAUUGCCUCUCUGGCCUCCAGGAUCAGGUUCAACAGAUGGGAAGAGGGUCCAUGGAGGGAAUUCGGACAACCUCUGCUGAUUAUGUGCUGCUACAUUUUGAUGAGGCAUCCAGACAGUUGGGAGAGGUCCUGUACCAGAAUUAGGAGUAUAUCG
rnacentral:lncRNA from 1 species